rnacentral:rRNA from 1 species
GAUGACCUUUGGCGGCGUGCCUAACACAUGCAAGUCGAGCGAUCUUCUUCGGAAGAGAGCGGCGGACGGGUGAGUAACGCGUGGGUAACCUGCCCUGUACACACGGAUAACAUACCGAAAGGUAUGCUAAUACGAGAUAAUAUGCUUUUGUCGCAUGGUAGAAGUAUCAAAGCUCCGGCGGUACAGGAUGGACCCGCGUCUGAUUAGCUAGUUGGUAAGGUAACGGCUUACCAAGGCGACGAUCAGUAGCCGACCUGAGAGGGUGAUCGGCCACAUUGGAACUGAGACACGGUCCAAACUCCUACGGGAGGCAGCAGUGGGGAAUAUUGCACAAUGGGCGAAAGCCUGAUGCAGCAACGCCGCGUGAGCGAUGAAGGCCUUCGGGUCGUAAAGCUCUGUCCUCAAGGAAGAUAAUGACGGUACUUGAGGAGGAAGCCCCGGCUAACUACGUGCCAGCAGCCGCGGUAAUACGUAGGGGGCUAGCGUUAUCCGGAAUUACUGGGCGUAAAGGGUGCGUAGGUGGUUUCUUAAGUCAGAGGUGAAAGGCUACGGCUCAACCGUAGUAAGCCUUUGAAACUGGGAAACUUGAGUGCAGGAGAGGAGAGUGGAAUUCCUAGUGUAGCGGUGAAAUGCGUAGAUAUUAGGAGGAACACCAGUUGCGAAGGCGGCUCUCUGGACUGUAACUGACACUGAGGCACGAAGGCGUGGGGAGCAAACAGGAUUAGAUACCCUGGUAGUCCACGCCGUAAACG